CGGGGCUACGUGGCCUGCGUCCUCCCAGCUCUUCUGAGGAGGCAGCCCCAGGCUCUUGUUCCCGGCGCGAAGCUCCAGAGGUGCGCGGGGAACGCAAGCCUGUGGCUGCCUCCUCCACUUACACUCCCCGCUCCCGCUUAGCGCUCCUCCGCUUACGCUCCCCUCGCACCUCUGGAGCUUUGUGCUGGGAGCCGGAGCCUGGGGCUGCCACGCUGCGCCCCUUAGCCUUUUGCUUCUAGGGGGGGCAAUUACCCCCUCCUGCCCCCCUGCCCACGGCACUGGUCGCCCCUCUGGGAAGCUCGCCCCAUCGCCCGGGUGCGCUGUUUCUGCCCCGAGCGCAGACGGCUCAGCCUCCUCCUCCUCUGCUUCCCACCCGGCUCCCCACUGUGCCUCCUGGGCUGGCUCCGCAGCCACUGUCCCUGGCUGAGCUGCCCCUGCAGCUGCUCUGCAUAGACAUCAAGGCACCCAGCCAGAAAACUUGGGGGGGGCCAGCUGGCUUCUAGAGUAGGGCAGCUGCCCUAACUUGCCCCGUGGUGGGUACGCCCUUGGAACUUCAUGUCUAAGAGAGGAUUUUAACUUGGCUUUCCUCAUUGCUAGCCUGCCACUCUAACCACUACACCACAUGGACUCUCACAUACGGAGGGAAAAGGAGCCAGUACUCACCAUGAAAUUGUUACAAACAAGAAUGGGAAUGAAGAACAUCUGUUAGCAAAUGUUUCAAGUGAAGGGAAAACUGGCUUGAAUACUUUUUUUAAAAAUGACAAAUCCUGUUUGAUUGUGCUUUUAUAUUGUUGGAUAGCUAGCAUGCAUCUAUGUAAUUUGUCAGCAGGCAUGAAAAUUACCUAAUUAAAUAAGUAAGAAAACUUUUCAUUUUCUCCGCAUGACAAGAGUGUUACUGGGGCAAACUCACCAUUUAACACAAUUUAAAUAGGACAUAUUAACAAUUUCUGUUACAAACACCCAGUGGAUAUUGAGAAGCUUAAUAAAACAUAAAAGGGUUUAUCUUGUAAAACAAAUUUGGCAUAAUCAUUUUUCAGGCAAGGUAAAUCCUUUGCUUGUCACUGGUUGAAUCGCCUUGUAAACUGAUAUAUUCACAGUAUUAGGACUGCAUUUCAUUCCAAACGCAUGCUGGAAAGACCUGAAAUUUCAUUACAGCCAUGAGUAUUAUAGCCAAAUAAAACGUUAGUCAAGCAUGCUUUUAACAAUUAUUGUAAUGCUUUCACUCUUUUUUGUGCCUCUAGUUAAGAAAUGGAAAUAUAGUUUAGAAAGGGGUUAUUCUAUAGAAAUAACUCCAAUGGCACAUUUAGGAAAAUGACAUUGAAUUAAAGGAAGUUUUCUAUAUUUUAUGAUGUGAUCUGUAACUUUACAUGUGAUCAUAGGGUAAAGAUAUAGCUAGGAUGAGUAAUUUUGGUGAGUUAAUAUGCUACUCGGUUUGAGCCCACAUAAUGCCUAAUGCCUCUGAAAUGAGGACUGUGGAGUGCUUUGUAUUCAAUAAAUGAACAAUUUUAUAAUGUUAACUCUGGCCUUUCACUCAUUCACUUUAUAGAAGCAUUAUUCAUACUACUGAACUGAAAACUAUAUACUGUAAAGCAUUUAAUCUGUAUGAGGCAAUGGAAAGGAUGGCAGGUAAGACAAGAGAUUUUCAUUUGUAAAUGAUACAUAUCGUUUGCUAAUCAAUUUCACAUUCGUUAAGUUGGGGGGGGGAACCACAGGCUUUCAAAUAUAUAUUAAGAGAAAACCCAUACACAUUAGUAACAAUUUCUUUUUAUUAGAGCAAAUACAGUUAAGAAAACUGUACAUUAUCCAUUUUGGGUUCCAGAAUUAUAAAUUAAGAAGCUCAUUAGAUAAAGAGUUCAUUCACAGCAAGAAAUUUUAAAUAGACAAAGUAACAUAUCAUUAAGUACAUUGGCAGAUCAAUGAACUGUCCAAAAUGUAGUGUACAGUAUACAACCAUCUAUAAAUAGCCUUUUAUGUAAAAUACAGCUGUGCACAUUUUAGAAAAAUACCAACAAUUUUUGAUUGGAGCUUCGUUUUUUAAAAAAGCUUAUAAAUCAUACAUAUUUAUAAAUGGAAAUAGCAUGCUUAAAUUUAUAAACAUUUUCAAAAGCCAUGUUUUUUUAAAUAAACAUGUAAUAAAAUGUAAAUGUCAGUUACAAAAUUAUUUUAAGCAAUAACUUAACAGGGGUGAACUGUAGAUAAGAAAGUGUGUUUAUAUAGGACAUCAAGGCUUGUUACGAUUUUAAAAACCUGAAUCUCAAUUAAGAAGUAGUUUUCUAAAUUUAAAAGUAAAACAAGUUUUCCUUCCUUAACAAACAUACAAACACAAGUUGUUAAACGUUUCAUUUGCUGCCUUUCUGCUUUCUUCACGAUUUCCACACUGGUCAAAACACAGGAUUCUCAAAC